CUGGCUUCCAGUGGUUUGGAAUAGUCUUUAAACACAAAUUUCAUUAGUACAGAAAGCCUGUUACUUUGAAAGCACUCUUAGGGUACCACAUUUGAUUUUCACUUUUCUUUAGACCAGCCAACACUGCAAAUAGUUGGGGAAACAUGGCAAUGUCAGGAACGAAUCAGAGCAAGAAAUACAAUAGAAGACACAAAAAUCUUCAGCUGCAGAAAAAAGGAUGAUUUUUCACAUGCAUGUUGUUUCAUCACAAGGGUUGAGAUAAAGAGAAAGUAUUUGGGUUAAUCUGUAUCUCAAAGCAGUGACUACUAGGAACAGUUAAUAACAUUUUUUCUAUGACUUGUUCCUGCAGUCCAUUCAGUUUGGUGUCUAGCAGCAGGGCUGUGAUCUCUAAGAGCUUGCAAUCAUUACAUCUGAGUUCAGCUUCUCAAUUUGUAUUGGUGUUAACAGGGAUCAUGCAGCUUAAGAGCCAAGGCAGCAUUUUAGAAAUGAAGGAGUGUCGGAUCACGGAGUACAUCCCUUGCCAGUUCUCAACAGGCCUUUGGAUUAAGAAGCUGCUGUUAUGCUUCAGUUUUUCAGAAUGCAUGGUACUUCACAUCCUCCACAUUCAUGUGAGAAGAGUUAUCAAAACUGUCUUGAAUUAAUUAAAAGUAAGUGUAAUCUCCACAAACAUGUGGGAGCCAGGGGAGCAGGGGUUGAGGGAGAAAAAAAAGA
rnacentral:lncRNA from 1 species